rnacentral:rRNA from 1 species
AGUGAACGCUGGCGGUAGGCCUAACACAUGCAAGUCGAACGGCAGCACAGUAAGAGCUUGCUCUUACGGGUGGCGAGUGGCGGACGGGUGAGGAAUACAUCGGAAUCUACUUUUUCGUGGGGGAUAACGUAGGGAAACUUACGCUAAUACCGCAUACGACCUACGGUUGAAAGCAGGGGAUCUUCGGACCUUGCGCGAUUGAAUGAGCCGAUGUCGGAUUAGCUAGUUGGCGGGGUAAAGGCCCACCAAGGCGACGAUCCGUAGCUGGUCUGAGAGGAUGAUCAGCCACACUGGAACUGAGACACGGUCCAGACUCCUACGGGAGGCAGCAGUGGGGAAUAUUGGACAAUGGGCGCAAGCAUGAUCCAGCCAUACCGCGUGGGUGAAGAAGGCCUUCGGGUUGUAAAGCCCUUUUGUUGGGAAAGAAAAGCAGCAGGUUAAUACCCCGCUGUUCUGACGGUACCCAAAGAAUAAGCACCGGCUAACUUCGUG